rnacentral:rRNA from 1 species
ACGCCCCGUGAGUGAAGAAGGUUUUCGGAUCGGGAAUUCUGUUGUGAGGGAAGAACAACUAUCAACUAACUAUUGGUACCUUGACGGUACCUCACCAAAAAGCCACGGCUGACUACGUGCCAGCAGCCGCGUUAUACGUAGGUGGCAAGCGUUGUCCGGAAUGAUUGGGCGUUAUUCGCGCUCAUGCAAUCCAUUACAUCUGAUGCGAAAGCCGACGGGUCCCCCGUGGAGGGUAUUGGUAACAGGGGGGCUGGAGUACACAC